CGCCACACUGGACGGUAUUCUAGGCCACCGUCUAGCAUACUCGAGCCACCGCGUUCUGGGAGACGAUCGUCUGCUCCGAGAACACUCCACCAUUGGAUGAGAGUCUUCAAGCUACUGCACUAGAACCUGUGGACAGUUUCCUGCUGGAUCCAGUCGCCCCUAACACAAGACCCAGCACCAGUGCACCCAGCACCAGUUUCUGUGUCGCUCCUGUUGGCACCAGUACCCCCUGUCGCCUUACACCAGCAAAGAGAAAGAGGCCUGAUUCCAGUAUCCUUUUAAUGGUGGAAAACCUGCUGGAUUCAGAUGCUGAACUGUAGUGAUUCCCACUAUGGUGAAAUACUGCAAUUUCUUAAAGGCCAAAACAGAGGCUGAGGAGCGUGCAGCUUUGGUGGCAAGGGAGGAAGAGAUGAAGCGCUUCAAGGCUCACUGGAUG